UACGUAGGGGGCAAGCGUUGUCCGGAAUCAUUGGGCGUAAAGCGCGUGUAGGCGGCUCGAUAAGUCUGCUGUGAAAGUCCAAGGCUCAACCUUGGGAUGCCGGUGGAUACUGUCGAGCUCGAGUCCGGAAGAGGAGUGUGGAAUUCCUGGUGUAGCGGUGAAAUGCGCAGAUAUCAGGAGGAACACCGGUGGCGAAGGCGGAUCUCUGGGCCGUAACUGACGCUGAGGAGCGAAAGCAUGGGGAGCGAACAGG
rnacentral:rRNA from 1 species